UGGGGAAUUUUGGACAAUGGGCGAAAGCCUGAUCCAGCAAUGCCGCGUGUGUGAAGAAGGCCUUCGGGUUGUAAAGCACUUUUGUCCGGAAAGAAAUGGCUCUGGUUAAUACCUGGGGUCGAUGACGGUACCGGAAGAAUAAGGACCGACUAACUACGUGCCAGCAGCCGCGGUAAUACGUAGGGUCCAAGCGUUAAUCGGAAUUACUGGGCGUAAAGCGUGCGCAGGCGGUUGUGCAAGACCGAUGUGAAAUCCCCGAGCUUAACUUGGGAAUUGCAUUGGUGACUGCACGGCUAGAGUGUGUCAGAGGGGGGUAGAAUUCCACGUGUAGCAGUGAAAUGCGUAGAGAUGUGGAGGAAUACCGAUGGCGAAGGCAGCCCCCUGGGAUAACACUGACGCUCAUGCACGAAAGCGUGGGGAGCAAACAGGAUUAGAUACCCUGGUAGUCCACGCCCUAAACGAUGUCAACUAGUUGUUGGGGAUUCAUUUCCUUAGUAACGUAGCUAACGCGUGAAGUUGACCGCCUGGGGAGUACGGUCGCAAGAUUAAAAGCUC
rnacentral:rRNA from 1 species